CAAACACCGUGGGCCUUCGGGCCCGCGUAUAUUUACUCUGAAUGUGUAUAGAAUGUAAACCAUUUGUUUGCCCUGAAAAAGCAAACGAAAAAAAAUACAACUUUCAACAACGGAUCUCUUGGCUCUCGCAUCGAUGAAGAACGCAGCGAAAUGCGAUAAGUAAUGUGAAUUGCAGAUUUUCAGUGAAUCAUCGAAUCUUUGAACGCACCUUGCGCCCCUUGGUAUUCCGAGGGGCAUGCCUGUUUGAGUGUCAUUAAAUCCUCAACCGCGCCGAUUGAUUUCGGUGGGGCUUGGACUUUGGAGCGUGCUGGCGAAGGUCGGCUCCUCUUUAAAUGCAUCAGCGGAAGAAACCUUUGUCUUUCCUGCC
rnacentral:misc_RNA from 1 species